rnacentral:lncRNA from 1 species
UCUUAGACUCAGUAAUUACCCGAUAAAGCUGUCGGUACACCGAUAAAUGUCAGACCUUAUAAAAGAAAGAAAAGGCUACUGUAAGAGCAUGGAUGAGAUAUUUGAAAAAUGUAUAAAAAUAUUUCAAGUAUAGAAUAGGAACUAAAAGUAUGAUCACUGUGAUUAUGUGAUUAGACUAUGUGCUGACUGUAAUAGACAGUACUAUGUGUUAAGAUAUAUUGUUCUAAUCGAACGAAUGAUCUGAUUAUUGAUAGGUUGUGAUAAAG